rnacentral:lncRNA from 1 species
AACACCGUCUCCGUUUUGUAAAUGUUUCUGCAACAAGAUGUUUGUUGCAAACACAACAGAGUCCAACACUUCAAUGGUUUCGCAACAAAGCUGUUGUUGCAUAGCGAGCUACGCAACAUCUAUCUUGUUGCAUUUUGCGACAUGCACCUUAGGAGAGAUCUGACGGCUGUUUGUGUCACAAUCCAACGAUGAAGGAGGUGGAUGAUGUUUUCAAUUCAUCUACCGGCGGAUGCGUA